GAUGAACGCUGGCGGCGUGCUUAACACAUGCAAGUCGAGCGAAGCACUUAAGUUUGAUUCUUCGGAUGAAGACUUUUGUGACUGAGCGGCGGACGGGUGAGUAACGCGUGGGUAACCUGCCUCAUACAGGGGGAUAACAGUUAGAAAUGACUGCUAAUACCGCAUAAGACCACGGUACCGCAUGGUACAGUGGUAAAAACUCCGGUGGUAUGAGAUGGACCCGCGUCUGAUUAGGUAGUUGGUGGGGUAACGGCCUACCAAGCCGACGAUCAGUAGCCGACCUGAGAGGGUGACCGGCCACAUUGGGACUGAGACACGGCCCAGACUCCUACGGGAGGCAGCAGUGGGGAAUAUUGCACAAUGGAGGAAACUCUGAUGCAGCGACGCCGCGUGAAGGAUGAAGUAU
rnacentral:rRNA from 1 species